GACCAGGUGGCUCAGUUGGUUGGAGUGUUCGCCUGUACAGCAAAAGGUUGUGGGUUCAAUCCCUGGUCA
rnacentral:tRNA from 1 species